UACGUAGGGGGCAAGCGUUGUCCGGAUUUACUGGGUGUAAAGGGCGCGUAGGCGGGCUUGUAAGUCAGAGGUGAAAUCCUGCAGCUUAACUGCAGAACUGCCUAUGAUACUGCAAGUCUUGAGUUCGAAAGAGAGAGAUGGAAUUCCAGGUGUAGUAGUGAAAUACGUAGAUAUCUGGAAGAACACCAGAGGCGAAGGCGAUCUCUUGGUUCGAUACUGACGCUGAGGCGCGAAAGCGUGGGGAGCAAACAGGAUUAGAGACCCUGGUAGUCCACGCUGUAAACGAUGAAUACUAGGUGUUGGACAAUAGUUCAGUGCCGCAGCAAACGCAUUAAGUAUUCCACCUGGGGAGUACGAUCGCAAGGUUGAA
rnacentral:rRNA from 1 species